UAGGGAAUAUUGGUUAAUGUGCGAAAGCGCGAACCAGCAACGCCGCGUGUGCGAUGAAGGCCUUCGGGUCGUAAAGCACUUUUUGCAGGGACGAGGAAGGACGGUACCUGCAGAAUAAGUCUCGGCUAACUACGUGCCAGCAGCCGCGGUAAAACGCAGGAGACGAGCGUUAUCCGGAUUUACUGGGCGUAAGGCGCGUGCAGGCGGCAUGGCAAGUUGGAUGUGAAAGCUCCCGGCUUAACUGGGAGAGGUCGUUCAAUACUGCCAGGCUUGAGAGUGGUAGAGGGAAGCGGAAUUCCGGGUGUAGUGGUGAAAUGCGUAGAUAUCCGGAGGAACACCAGUGGCGAAAGCGGCUUCCUGGCCCAUUUCUGACGCUCAGACGCGAAAGCUAGGGUAGCAAACGG
rnacentral:rRNA from 1 species